UAUGGUCCACUGGCAUGCACCAAUUACAUCCUUCAGGCCUUGAUUAGGGAAAGGGAGUGAAGAAGAGACAGAAAACUUAACAUUCUCAUACAUAACUCUAUCCCCUAUACAAAGUCAUUUGUUUUCCCUUUGCUUUCAUAGGACAGUAGAUAUGGGAAUGAAGACAGAUUGAGGAAGAAAAAUUAUGAUGGGAGGGACAUCUAAGAUAUCUUAGAGGUGGAAGACAAGGAAGAGUUUGUGUGCCACCGAAGGUCACGGGGCCUGUCAUCAGAAAAGAUUAGAGAAGACAUCCACACUGCACCUUGAUCCAGCCAUUGCAGAAACGACUUUCCUACUUUUAAGGGUUUGGCCAGACCCAGACCUCGAGGAAGACAAGCCUGCCUGGCUGUUGGACAAAGAUGCACAUGGCAUGCCUCAUAGUACGGAGCAUGAGAGGUGGAACAUAAGCUCUGCUUCUUCUGACCGCGCCCCCCCCCCCUUCAGAUUCCCAACUCUCUUUCCCCUGAGAAAAAAAGAAAGAAAUAACUCUUGUUUUAUCAAUUCUAGCUGGCUUUAUUACUUAGCUGGGUUGUAAACUCCUACCCACCCUUCGAGACCUUCUCUAGGAAGCCUUCCCAGGCAACGUUCCCACAACACUUGUCCCACGCCUCUGGUAGGGAUUACCUCUCCGUGGCCAUUCCCUUUCAUGCCUAACUCACCUCUGUGUCCUUGGAAACAGAGCCUCUGUUGAGCAGGCCGUUGAGCCGACACCCGGAGGCUCACUAUACCUUUGCCCCAGCAAGGAAGAGAGGGAAACAACUACAUACAGAUGAGACUUAAUCAUUACCACGGCAGAACGGAAAUCAUAUACUCUGAAGCUUUUCCACAGAACUGCCCGGCAUUUGGUAAAAGGUAGGCCACGUGGGCCUGCCCAAAGAAGAUGAAUUACCAAGUCUGAAAGGCUCUCAUCAGAAGGUAGCCUGGCUGCUGAUACCCCUCAGAGUAGCAUUCAAAUGGAGCUCCAGGGGUGCCUGGGUGACUCAGUCGGUUGAGUGUCUGACUCUUGAGUUCAGCUCAGGUCAUGAUCCCAGGGCUGUGGGCUCAAG